UACGUAGGGCGCAAGCGUUGUCCGGAAUUAUUGGGCGUAAAGAGCUCGUAGGCGGCUUGUCACGUCGGGUGUGAAAGCCCGGGGCUUAACCCCCGGGUCUGCAUUCGAUACGGGCAGACUAGAGGUAUGCAGGGGAGAACGGAAUUCCUGGUGUAGCGGUGAAAUGCGCAGAUAUCAGGAGGAACACCGGUGGCGAAGGCGGUUCUCUGGGCAUGAUCUGACGCUGAGACGCGAAAGCGUGGGGAGCAAACAGG
rnacentral:rRNA from 1 species